rnacentral:rRNA from 1 species
GAUGAACGCUGGCGGCGUGCCUAACACAUGCAAGUCGAACGGGAGGGCGGACGGGUGAGUAACACGUGGGCAACCUGGCUCAUAGAGGGGGAUAACAGAGAGAAAUUUCUGCUAAUACCGCAUACUAUGAGAUGGACCCGCGUCUGAUUAGCCAGUUGGCAGGGUAAGAGCCUACCAAAGCGACGAUCAGUAGCCGAUCGGAGAGGACGAACGGCCACAUUGGGAACGAGAUAGGGCCGAAGCCCCUACGGGAGGCAGAAGUGGGGGAUAUUGCAAAAGGGGGGGAACCCUGAGGCAGCGACGCCGCGUGAGUGAAGAAGUAUUUCGGUAUGUAAAGUGCUAUAACCAGGAAAGCAGUACCUGAAGAAGAAGCCCCGGCAAACUACGAGCCAGCAGCCGCGGUAAUUC